rnacentral:tRNA from 1 species
GUGAUUGUGGCUCAGUGGCAGAGAGUUCACCUAGCAUGUGAAAGCCCUGGGUUUGAUCCUCAGCACCACA